UGAGGGGGUACAGUCCCAACCCAAUGUGAACGUUUACCAAACUGUUGCCUCCGGCGGGGUCACGCCCCGGGUGCGUCGCAGCCCCGGAACCAGGCGCCCGCCGGUAGGAACCAACCAAACUCUUUCUGUAGUCCCCUCGCGGACGUAUUUCUUACAGCUCUGAGCAAAAAUUCAAAAUGAAUCAAAACUUUCAACAACGGAUCUCUUGGUUCUGGCAUCGAUGAAGAACGCAGCGAAAUGCGAUAAGUAAUGUGAAUUGCAGAAUUCAGUGAAUCAUCGAAUCUUUGAACGCACAUUGCGCCCGCCAGUAUUCUGGCGGGCAUGCCUGUCCGAGCGUCAUUUCAACCCUCGAACCCCUCCGGGGGAUCGGCGUUGGGGAUCGGGACCCCUCACACGGGUGCCGGCCCCGAAAUACAGUGGCGGUCUCGCCGCAGCCUCUCCUGCGCAGUAGUUUGCACAACUCGCACCGGGAGCGCGGCGCGUCCACGUCCGUAAAACACCCAACUUUCUGAAAUGUUGACCUCGGAUCAGGUAGGAAUACCCGCUGAACUUAAGCAUAUCAAUAAGCGGAGGAAAAGAAACCAACAGGGAUUGCCCCAGUAACGGCGAGUGAAGCGGCAACAGCUCAAAUUUGAAAUCUGGCCCCUCCGGGUCCGAGUUGUAAUUUGUAGAGGAUGCUUUUGGUGAGGUGCCGCCCGAGUUCCCUGGAACGGGACGCCACAGAGGGUGAGAGCCCCGUCUGGCUGGCCACCGAGCCUCUGUAAAGCUCCUUCGACGAGUCGAGUAGUUUGGGAAUGCUGCUCAAAAUGGGAGGUAUAUGUCUUCUAAAGCUAAAUAUUGGCCAGAGACCGAUAGCGCACAAGUAGAGUGAUCGAAAGAUGAAAAGCACCUUGAAAAGAGGGUUAAACAGUACGUGAAUGUUUUAAAAGGGGAAAAAGGAUCUGUAUUU
rnacentral:rRNA from 1 species